rnacentral:rRNA from 1 species
GUGUCAGCCGCCGCGGUAAUACGUAGGGUGCAAGCGUUGUCCGGAUUUAUUGGGCGUAAAGAGCUCGUAGGCGGUUUGUCGCGUCGGAUGUGAAAACCUAUGGCUUAACCAUGGGCCUGCAUUCGAUACGGGCAGACUAGAGUUCGGUAGGGGAGACUGGAACUCCUGGUGUAGCGGUGAAAUGCGCAGAUAUCAGGAAGAACACCGGUGGCGAAGGCGGGUCUCUGGGCCGAUACUGACGCUGAGGAGCGAAAGCGUGGGGAGCAAACAGGAUUAGAUACCCUGGUAGUCCACGCCGUAAACGUUGGGCGCUAGGUGUGGGGAACCUUCCACGUUCUCCGUGCCGUAGCUAACGCAUUAAGCGCCCCGCCUGGGGAGUACGGCCGCAAGGCUAAAACUCAAAUGAAUUGGCGG